rnacentral:lncRNA from 1 species
CGAACUUCCGGACCAAGAAGGCGGAGUAGAAACAGAUCACCACUGAGGUACUUUUGCAAUUAGUAGCUAAGAGAAGCUAGUCUUUGAACAGCAUUAUUCUAUUUAUUCUAUACUAUUCCCUCCGUCCGGAAAUACUUGUCGGAGGAAUGGAUGUAUCUAGAAUUCUAGAUGCAUUUUAGUUUUAGAUGCAUCCAUUUAUACCCAUUUCCGCGACAAGUAUUUCCGGACGGAGGGAGUAGAUACGUUCAUUUGACCUUUGAUGGCAUUUACAUUUCUCCCAGUUCCCAUGUCGUCCUGUAUCUGAUCCUGAGUGUUGUCUUUUACAUUUCCUGUAGAUGUUCUGUUAUUCAAUGUUGAUCAUGAACAUUAUGCAUGAGUCCAUGUCCAUGGCGUGCUGUAGUUAUUUUUACCACAAUCCUGUCAGAUUAUAUCUUCGUUGUGGAACCAGUGGCAUGCGCUUAGGUUGCUUUUGUCAGUUUGUGGCGUAGAUAAUGCAACUUGGGCAGAGUGUCUUAUAUAUGAUGUCAUUUCUAUCCUUCAGUAUUUAGACUAGAGGCUGUCAACGUUACAGGUGAUGCAUGCCAUGUUUUUAUUAUCACCAGGCUUGCUGUUUUCUUGAUCAGGAUGGUCUUUGUUCUGCAGCUGCCAUCUCUUUGUUUCUAAUAUAUAUACUAGUCCCUCCGUUCCUAAAUAUUUGUCUUUUUUUUAGAGAUUUCAAAUGGACUAGCACAUACGGAUGUAUAUAGACAUAUUUUAGAGUGUAGAUUCACUCAUUUUGCUUGGUAUGUAGUCACUUGUUGAAAUCUCUAUAAAGACAAAUAUUUAGGAACGGAGGGAGUAGUAUUCUGGUUCUGAUAAAAAAUAAAUUCAUGAACCAUAUUUUCGUUUGAAAUUAGAAAAGCACAACCGUUUUAAUGUUCUUUGCCCGCAGAAACAUAUUUAUCAAGCACAUGUUCACAAAGUAACUAGCCACAAACCUGAUUGUUAUCCUAGCAUGAGUUAGAAUUAUCAUAGAAGCAAAUUGGCAUAACCUUUCAUGUCUUUGUAGGUCAUUAUUUAGCAUCAAACAUUUUGACCCUACUUCUAGGUCUCGAGAUGGGUUGUAUACACCUUUUACCCAUUUAUCUUGCUAACCAUAUUGCCUGCUGUGCUGUUUGCAGGCCACACAAGAAGAAGAUUGGUCGAUUGCCUUUUGAAGACCCCGGGGCUCGCUUGCUGCUGACUUUCUGGAUGGUGGAGACGAGGCUUCGUCGUCAAGACCCAGCUGGUUUGUUGCCAGGAGCGAGUCGAGUCCCUGAAGUCGCUGAUGAUCGAGGCAGCUAUUGAGAGAGAGAGGGAGAGAAAGAUAGAUGCUUAGAUCAAAAUUUUGAGUUAUGGAAAAUUACCUGGCUACCUACCUUAUGAUUUAUCGCGAUGAUGUUCCCCCUGCAUACAGUAUACUUCUAGCUGAUGCCUGCUAUAUUGGUUAUGAAUUUACUAUGCUGACGUUAUUCUUGUUACGCUAGUCGUCGUCGUCGUUAAGAUAUCUGGUGAUAUACAGAUUGUGCAAGUUGAGUAUCGGUUUCGCUAUCUUGUUUCUCUUGAUGCCUUUGCUGCUUCAGCUCAUCAACUUGGUCUUGUGUGCCCCCUACCUAGACAGAUAGUUUUGCUCUUGUCUGCUGCACCGUGCGUGCAGUCAAGUUUCAGGUUCAGUUGAGUUCAGCUCAGGAGCCAACCAAGUCUCGGUCUCCUUGUUCCCAUCAACAGAGUUAUGUGGCAUUGUUCUUGCUGCACAUGGCGGUGACCAUACCCUGGAGGGGAUCCUGAGGACGACCGGCUGGCCGUACCCGAACUGCUCUGCGGCCAUCUCCAGGACUGCCGCCUCCUUGAGCGCCCUGAUGCGCACCACCACCCUCCCCAUCCUCGCCCACGGGCGGCAGCUGGAGGUACCCCUUGGGGACCUUACCUCUGUCGCCUCCGGCGCCGAUAAAGAGGUAUGCUUCCACCGUCUCAUCCUUCCUUCUCCAGGCGGCCAUUGCUGCUCUUCUCUGCUUCCAAAGGAAAAUCAUCCAAAAUGACAAGGAGAGUGAGUUUGGAAAAGGGGUAUGUCACAAGGCGUGGAUGCUGACUGCGUCCGUGGACGAUGGGCUCUGAUGUCCCCACAUUUUGGGAUUUGUCAAUACGUCCACAAAUGGCCUCUAUCAAGAAAAAUAGAGGCACAUUAGUUGCGAUCAACCACAAAAAAUCAUAUUAAGACAUUCCGAAAAUUCUGAAAUUAUUUGACAACAUACCUCUACAACUCUGAAAACAUUCAGCUCAAAACUCAAUGUACAUUUAGGGAUUCAGAAAAGACAAGUUCGAAUGUGAAUAGUGGCAUCUUACCGUGAAUAGUAUUUUGACAUUAUUCACGUCCAAUUAUAUAUUUUUUGUUUCUAUUAGUGUAGGUUGAAUUAGGAGCUGAAACUUUUUGAGGUUGUGCAUCAAACAUUGAUUUGUGCAUAUAAUUUUUUUGAGAAUGUUUGAACAUAUUUUGGAUUUUCAAAAAAUAAAUAAAUUGUCUUACAUAAUGUGAGAUUCUAUAAUACUCUCCCGGGGUUAAUUUGCGGGGUCCGUACGGUUUUGUACCGCACUAACGGCUAACGUGCGCCUUGUCGCGCCGUUUUUCGCAUACGAGUUUUUUCUUGGUUGUAUAAUGGAUUUUCGUUUACCUGGGCUUAUUGGGCUCUGUGUGCUCAGGAUGUAAUUGACCAUAUGAUUCUGCAGGAAUUACAUAUACAAUUUUUAUAUAUCGCCUGUAGCAAGCGAUACGGGCCAAUCGCCCAUAGAUACUGCCAUCCCGGUUUUUAUGCAGAGGGAAUUUUCCAGCCAAGUUUUUUUUUCAGAAACCCGGGUUCUUUCUUAUACAAGAACAUAUUUUAAAUACACUUUGAACUUUUUUCAAAUACACAUUGAUUUUUCUUAACAUAUGUUGAAAAAAUUCAAAUACAUGCUGAACAUUUUUCCUUACUCUUCUAAUUUUCAAAAUUUUGUUAACAUUUUUCAAUCCAUAAAUAUUUUUAAGUUUCACAAUUGUUAAAAUGACAUGAAUAUUUUAACAUAUGUUGAAAAGAAAUUAAUGCAUGUUGAAUAUUUUUUUACUCGUCUAAUUUUUAAAAAUUCAUGAACAUUUGUAAAUCCAUAAACAUUUUUAAGUUUCACAAUUUUUAAAAUUUCAUGAACUUUUUAUAAAAUUGUAAUCAUUCUAUAGAAGUCAUGAACAUCUUUCGGAAUUCAUCUUUUUGACUUUGUGGUUUUUUUAAACAUUAAUAAAAGUUACAAACAUGGAUUCGUGGUGUGAGCAACAAGUGACAAUUUGAAAGAAUGACGUCCGUGCAAAAGUUUUGACAUUUAAAGCGUGCAACAUCCAAAGUGAGUUUCUGUUGAGUCAUUAUAGACACUGCUUAAAGUACUACUCCACUAUGUCAUAUAUUUGGUGUCCUGUCUACAAUGUUUUGAGGACAACUGCUCCCUAUGUCAUAUAUUUGUUUCUUCAUCUGACAUUGUUUUUUAUCAAUAAAAUGUGUGAUUACUCUAGUACUUCCAAGUGCACAUAAACAUAAAAAAAGUCAUACAACAUGUGUGUGAUUGUUUCGAAGCUCAAUCAGGUACACAUUUGAAUCACACAAAAUAAAUAUUGUUGACAUCUCAUACAUUCUACAAUCUCUACUGAGCUGCACCUAACCUUGACAUUUUUUUACUCUGGAAACUUCCACCAAGCCCCCCACCCCAAUUAUACACUUCAAAACACUCUACCAAAUCUUGAUAGUAUUUAAAAAUACUAUCAACAAGGGCACACAUAAAUACACCAUAAUGCAAUAAGAAACAUAAAUCAGAUACACUACAUACACAGGCUUAGCUUGCUAUUGUUGAGUUGUGUUAUUUUGUGCAUAUUUUAUAAUUUUCUACAGAAAGUUAGCCACAAAAAGGUUAAUUUUUUUCAAAAAAAUAGACAAAAUAUAGUUAUGCAAGUACGAUUACCGUAGUCUACCGAACGGCAAACUCACACUAAGAAUAUAAAACUAUUUUAGAAAAUAAUGUAAUAUUUUUGCUUGCUUAAAUUUUGGUGAAAUCUAAUAUACAAUAAUAAAUAUAAGCACAUAAUUUAAUAAAAAUAUGACAAAAUAUAGUGAAAUGUAGCACACCAAAAUGUAUUUGUAGUGAUAAAUAUUUAAAUUAUAUUAAAUUAUAUAACAUAAAUGUACCUUAUAUACAACAUGUGGUUAAAAUUGUUAAUUUUGUUAGAUAUACUUGAUAAACAAAAUUUAAAAUAAUACAUAGAAGAGUGUAUCAGUAAGAAUGACACACACACACACACAUAAUGAUGAGAUGAGUUAUGGUUAAGUAAAGGAAUUUAGUAUAAAUAAGUUAAAUAUUGAAAAAAAGGGUAAACACCCCCUGAACUAUCACAUUUGGAGCAAACAGAGGAUUAGACAAACAGAGGAUUAGGCAAAUCAUCAGCGAGCAAGGUGGGGCAGCAACCCCAGGUAACCAAUGUGGGUAGGGUUCCAUACCGUCAUCGCCGUCGAGGUUGUCGUCGUCGUCGACACCGGCCGUCGUCGACGAACUGGAGGACGCCGGAGUGGCAGCGGCACCGCUUGUCGGCGGGGGAGGGGCCAGCGAUGGAGCACCGGUCGUCGUCAGAGGCCAUGAUGUUGGUUGGGGCAGGGGAGGAGGAACGGCAAAGCUGAUGGUGAUGUAAUGAGUAGUGUAUCCAAGGUUAUAUUCCCGUCUGAACCUGACCCUCCUCUGAGCUCAGAGCCUCUCGGCCAUCCUAUCUCGUGCUUGAGGCGUUCUGGACCGUCGGAUUGUCCUCCUGAUUGUUCUCGGUCGUUGGAUAAAAUGGAUGGUUGGAGCAAUGAGCAGUGAAAUUUUUCUCUCACCGCGUGAUAUUAGGCGUGUCUCCCUCUUGUCUUCUCAAUUGCAUCAACCUUGGCCUUUUCCACCUCAAUGCUUCUUUUAGAAAUUUAUGGCCCAAAACAAUACCUUUGUUAACCAUAAAGUGGCACUUCUGACAAUUCAAGACAAGAUUUAUUUGUUCACAUCUCUGCAAAACUCGAUCAAGAUUGCUCAAACAAUCAUCAAAAGACUUACCAUAAACAGAAAAGUCAUCCAUGAAAACCUCAACAAUCUUUUCAUAAAAAUCAGAGAAUAUAGCAGUCAUACAUCUUUGAAAGGUAGCAGGUGCAUUACAUAGACCAAAAGGCAUACGUCCAUAAGCAUAAGUUCCAAAAGGACAAGUAAAAGUGGUCUUUUCUUGAUCAGGUUGAGAAACAUGUAUUUGUAAAAAACCAGAAUAUCCAUCAAGGAAGCAAAAAUGUGUGUGCUUAGAUAAUCUUUCUAACAUUUGAUCAACAAAAGGCAGAGGGUAAUGAUCUUUUCUAGUUGCUUUAUUUAUUUUUCUAAAAUCAAUUACCAUUCUAUAGCCUGUGAAAAUUCUUUGUGGAAUGAGUUCAUUCUUAUCAUUAGGAACAACAGUUAUACUUCCCUUCUUAGGGACACAAUGAACAAGAAUUACCCAUCUACUAUUAGCUAUGGCAUAGAUUAUACCUACUUCCAGAAGUUUCAAUAUUUCCAUCCUUACCACUUCUUUCAUUUUCAGAUUUAACCGACGUUGGUAAUCAACAACGGGUUUAGCAUCAGGUUCCAUAUUAAUCUUGUGCUGACAUAGAGUGGGACUAAUGCCCUUAAGAUCAUCAAGAGUAUAUCCAAUAGUAGCUCGGUGCUUCCUUAGAACUUUCAAUAAUCUUUCUUCUUCAUGUUCUGAAAGGUUAGCACCAAUAAUAACAUGAUAUAUCUUUUUCUCAUCAAGAUAAACAUAUUUCAAAGUGUUUGCCAAUUGUUUUAAUUUAAACAAAGGAUCACCUUUAGGUGGAGGAGGACCUCCUAGAGUUUCAAUAGGCAGAUUAUGUUUAAGCAGAGGUUGUUGUCGAACAAGAUUCUAUCAAUUUCAUUUCUUUCACGCAUAUGCAAAUCAUUUUCAUGGUCUAGCAAAUAUUGUUCUAAAGGAUCAGUAGGAGGUACAACAAUAGCAGCAAGACCAAUAAUUUCAUCCUUACUAGGCAAAUCUUUCUUAUGAGGUUUUCUACUAAACUUGGAAAAAUUAAAUUCAUGAGAUUCAUCACCAAAGCUAACACCGACAAUUUAUUUCUCACAAUCUAUUCUAGCAUUAACAGUGUUCAAGAGAGGUCUAUCAAAGAUAAUGGGACAAAAGUCAUCUUGUGGGGAAUCAAGAACAAGAAAAUCAGUAGGGUAUUUUAUUUUUCCACACAAGACUUCAAAAUCUUGUUUGCUGGUGACUUUCUGGAUGGUGGAGACCCAGCUGGUUUGUUGCCAGGAGCGAGUCGAGUCCCUGAAGUCGCUGAUGAUCGAGGCAGCUAUUGGGAGAGGGAGAGAGAAAGAUAGAAGCUUAGAUCAAAAUUUUGAGUUAUGGAAAAUUGCCUACCUACCUACCUUAUGAUUUAUCGCGAUGAUGUUCCCCUGCAUAUAGUAUACUUCUAGCUGAUGCCUGCUAUACUGGUUAUGAAUUUACUAUGCUGACGUUAUUCUUGUUACGCUAGUCGUCGUCUUUAAGAUAUCUGGUGAUAUACAGAUUGUGCAAGUUGAGU